GAUGAAGAACGCAGCGAACUGCGAUAAGUAAUGUGAAUUGCAGAAUUCAGUGAAUCAUCGAGUCUUUGAACGCACAUUGCGCCCCCUGGCAUUCCGGGGGGCAUGCCUGUCCGAGCGUCAUUGCUGCCCUUCAAGCCCGGCUUGUGUGUUGGGUCGUCGUCCCCCCCGGGGGACGGGCCCGAAAGGCAGCGGCGGCACCGCGUCCGGUCCUCGAGCGUAUGGGGCUUUGUCACCCGCUCGAUUAGGGCCGGCCGGGCGCCAGCCGGCGUCUCCAACCUUCUAUUUUACCAGGUUGACCUCGGAUCAGGUAGGGAUACCCGCUGAACUUAAGCAUAUCAUAAGCGGAGGA
rnacentral:misc_RNA from 1 species